rnacentral:lncRNA from 1 species
UACAUGAUGUUAUGAUGUGGAAUACCGACAACAAAAAAAAAUCACAAAACCAUGACACACUGUUACUAACAGACUUGUCUGAGUGAGAGAAAAAAGAAAGUAUACAAGCAGUAAAAUAUAAAUAUGUGAUGUUCUUAAAUUACUGUUAACUGAUAAUAGAGUGGCUGCCAAUGAGAAGUAGAUUCAACAUUUGAGGCUGAAAUAUUGAAGCUGUUCAGCAGGAGUAGUAAAAGAAGUUAUUCAACAAAAUGUUAUAAUAGCGUUAUUUACCUUCUAUUUUUAGUUUGUUUGGGUACAAAUGGAUCAUGAUAUCAAAGCUUUGAAGCUUUGAUUCUCACUGAGGAACUAGCAAAAGAUCUGCCACAGUGGAGUAAAGUCUUUAGAGAGGCAACACAUCCGGAUUCUCAGGAAACAAGCAUUCAUUGGUUACUCAUGCUAUCUUCUCAAACACAGAUUUUGAAGGUUUAUCCAGAAUUAGCUGAGAGCCUUCAGAGAGGACCAGCAUACAGAGCAGCAACUCUUUAAAGAUAACUUUUUGAGAGCGCAAGAGCUCUCAGUCACCCAGUAGAGAAAAAAAAAAGACAAGGCAGGAAACUGCCAUGGCUUGACAAGGACCUGCUGGUCAAAAUGAGGGAUAAGAAAGACAAAUACAAGGACAUAUCACCCAGGAAGAAUACAAGGACGUUGUCCGGACAUGCAGAGAUGGGA